AAUAGUACCAACAAUGAAGAUCGACAAAAGCCGGAGAAUUUUAGGUUUUUGCCCUUGGUUAUUUUCAUUGUUUAAGGCCACGUGAUAUCACGUGGUUUGAACACGUGGCAUUUCCCGGAACAAGGUAAAUUUUUAAUAUCUCACCUCGACUCCCGCGCAUUUUAAUUUCAAAAAUCGCAACGUUUCACGAAAGGGCGUAGUAAUGAGCGAGAAGGCAAAUACGUAGAAAUGAGGCAUAAACAAUGGCGAUUGAUAACAGAUUUGGCAAGCCAAUACGUUCAAUCUGCCACGAAUAUCUCAAGCUAAUCGUCCAAGACCUGCAAGUUAUCUCGAUUUGCGGCCACGUCUUCCAUGAACUUUGUUGGUUGGUGAUCAAACCGAAACGUUGGUUUCACAGAAGAGGAAAGAUUGUGACGCAGAAGGGCCAGAGGCUUUGCUUGCUAAAGUUAAGAGUCUGGAGGUCAAGGCAUCGAGCCUCAGUUCGGCCUUGGAGAGUCAAGAGGAGCUUAAAGAAAUCAAUGAGGAGGAAGCGUACAAAGGAAGAAGUAGCACUGAGGAAUGAGGUUCUGCGAGAAAACAUACAUUCAACAACUGCUUCAUUUAAAAUCCCAGUGUAUCAGAUUUGAACCUGGAUGAAAAUGAAGUUUUAAAGUUUGUCUCUUUGAGUAAUGGCGCUAACAACGAAGAUACAAUUGAUGUUCUGAGAAAGUCCCCGGUCAUUCGAAACUGACAAGAGUACGAGAACUGGAGAUAGCAGGAGAAGUAAAAUAUAAUGAAGUUUUGAGGUAUUUGAAAGCCUUAAAGAAAACCAGUUGAGAAAAUGAUAUUCUGAAUGGCACUAUCGAUUACUCCAAAUUUUGUACAAGUAAUCAUAUCUCAGAAGAUUUUGUCGCAAUGUCAUCCAUAACCCCACUCUGUCGAGAUUAAAUGCAAAUCUUGUUGACAUCAAAGAAGUUGCAGGGUGUGGGCCUCAUAAUCUGCUUGUGAAUCUGGUUUCAAGAUCUAGUGCCAAUGAUAAUAACAGUUCUGCUCUUGCUGCUGCUAUAGAGGCAGUAAUUUUGAUUGCUGAUGAUGAUGAAGACUUUGAACAAGUUCAACCUGUCCUCAGCAUCAGAAAAGAGUCUCCAAUGCCAGUUCCUCUUUCUAAAUCAGCUAAUAUAAUGGUCAGUGCAAUUUUGAGUUUUAUGUAAGGGUAUCAGACUGCUGAUUGAGCUAGAAUUUUGUGAUUCAAUUACUUUAACCAAAUGCCUUUUUAGCUGUUAAGAUCAUUUCAAAUUAACUUGUAAAGAAAUCCAAGUGAUAUAUGCUUUUCUAGAGGAUUGUUUAGUCCUGAUGGGACAAACCCGUACUUGGGGAAAUGGUGGAACCGUGGCCAAACAUGCGAGGUUCAAUUCAAAACAGUGGAGAUUUGAUUGCUGUUGGAGCUGAUGGGAGAGGUGGCAGAAUCAAAGUCCUGAAAUCUCUAAAUCAAUCUUCAAAGGUGGCCUAUAAACACUCAGUUUCCCAUUCAAAUUACUUUUGUCUGGAGCAUUGUACUUGAUCUGUAAGCUGUAUCCUCUAUCAGUUCAUUACUCCUAGCAGAUAGUUUUGUUUUAGGAUUUGGCUAAUUUUUUGAAUUUCGACAAAUGAACAUUUGAAUGUUAUCUUAAAUAUUCUUGCUGUUAACUUUAAUUUUUUAGUGAAUAAAAGAAUUUUGAUCAUUUUACCCAUAGACAUGUUUGGUCAGUAAAUUUCUUUUUCUUCAACUUUAGUUUUUUGGUUCUUUUUCUGGUAUCCUCUAAUCCAAUUUGUGGGUUUGCAUCUACCUCUUUCAUGCAGGAUGGUAAAGAGAAUUUGCUUUGUGCAAAAUAUGGAUCAAAGACAAGUAAUGUGCAGUCCCAUGGGUGGUUGCAAGUUGCAAAUAGAACACUUCUUUGGAAUGAGCAGCCAGUAAUUCAAAGCACACAUCACUGUUGAUAACUUCUUAAUUAGGACUAUAUUUUGAGGGCACAAAUAAAAGGUUUAAGUUCUUUUCUUUCCAGCAAUAUGCUGAAAAGAAAAUUCCAGAGAAAUAGGCAAUUGAGGUUGAUGUCUCUAAAGUAAAUCCACCUUUCAAAUAACAUUUUUCAGGUUUAGACUUUUCUCGUACAUUCCUCACAUUAGUAGCAUUGAAGUUCAAUCUGUACAGGCAUACGACUCAAGCGGUACAUGGACUUGAAGGAACAUCAGUGUAGAGGAUGAGGUUA